AUUGAACGCUGGCGGCAGGCUUAACACAUGCAAGUCGAGCGAGCGGCGGACGGGUGAGUAAUGUCUGGGAAACUGCCUGAUGGAGGGGGAUAACUACUGGAAACGGUAGCUAAUACCGCAUACCAUCAGAUGUGCCCAGAUGGGAUUAGCUAGUAGGUGGGGUAAUGGCUCACCUAGGCGACGAUCCCUAGCUGGUCUGAGAGGAUGACCAGCCAAAAGGAAACUGGGAAACGGUCCAGACUCCUACGGAAGGCAGAGGAGGGGAAUAUUGCAAAAGGGGCGCAAGCCUGAUGCGGACAUGCGGGGUGUGUGAAGAAGGCUUUGGGUUGGAAAGGCACUUUGAGCGAGAAGGCGGUACUCGAAGAGGAAGCAACGGCUAACUACGUGCCAGCAGCCGCGGUAAUUC
rnacentral:rRNA from 1 species